AUUGAACGCUGGCGGCAUGCCUUACACAUGCAAGUCGAACGGCAGCACGGGGGCGACCCUGGUGGCGAGUGGCGAACGGGUGAGUAAUGCAUCGGAACGUGCCCAGUAGUGGGGGAUAACCAGUCGAAAGACUGGCUAAUACCGCAUACGACCUACGGGUGAAAGCGGGGGACCGUAAGGCCUCGCGCUAUUGGAGCGGCCGAUGUCUGAUUAGCUAGUUGGCGGGGUAAGAGCCCACCAAGGCGACGAUCAGUAGCUGGUCUGAGAGGACGACCAGCGAAACGGGGACUGAGAGACGGCCAAGAUGCGAACGGAGGGCACCGGUGGGGAAGGUUGGACAAUGGGCGCAAGCCCGAUCCGGCCAUCCCGCGUGCGGGAAGAAGGCCUUCGGGUUGUAAGCCGCUUUUGGCAGGAACGAAACGGCGCAAGCCAAUACCUUGCGCUAAUGACAGUACCUGCAGAAUAAGCACCGGCUAACUACGUGCCAGCAGCCGCCGUAAUAC
rnacentral:rRNA from 1 species